AGUUGUGAGCCACGAGAAAAUCAUUCAUUAAAACAAGCAAUUUUCCAUACUGAACCCUAUUGCAGCUCGCUUUUUGCCACUAUUUAAAAUGGCGGGAGUUAACAAAUUUGCCUCACUCGGCAGUACGCAGCAUGACACGAGUUAGACAUCUAGCGCCUUCGGCGCUUCAUAUCAUUGGUUUAAUCUCUUUAGAUAUCAAAUCGAGGCUCAAAAGACUAAUUCUGUGCAUUAAACAUGAAGUACCCGAGCAUGUUUCGUAAAAUUCGUAUUUUUUGAGAGUUUUUAACUAUAAUGGCCCCAAGUUUGUUUUCUGCAACUCCUGCCCUCCACUAAAAGAUACAGGGUUCAGUUAAUAAAAUUGUGGCUUACUCGUGUUGUUGAUGUCACUUCGCCUUAGUUUCCGGAUGGCAAACAAAGAAAAGCAACACUAACUGAUAAGAUCAUCGAAUAUGUUGCAGGAUAAGAUGCGAGAAACGGAAGAAGUAGGGUACAGAAAACUGCACAUCACUAGAGAAUUAGUCAGCAAAGAUACUCCCUGAUAUUGAAAGAAUUUCUCCCGAUAUCUCAAAUUUAUUCAGCAAUAAAGAAGCAAUCACUCUGCUUUCCUUUCCAAAAAAAGAUCGACUCUCCUUCGUUCUUAUGGAAUUAUCUUCUACAUGCGGAGGCGCAUUUCCACUUGUUUUGAGCAAGAUGUCAAGAUGGCCUCCAGAUUGGCGGGAGAAGAUCAUUGAAAGUCUCUGCAAGUUGGAAAGCCUUCAAAGGCUUUUGGAAGAACAAGAGGUUCCAGUCAAGUUGAAGUAUUGUAUCUCGCCAUUCAAAAGACAUUUGGUGGACUCAGACACUUAAUAGAGUAUAUUUUUUGUAUAAGUAUUGUAUUGUAUUGCUUUACCCUGGGCUGUAUUUUGGACUGUUCUUUUAAACAAGCCCCAACAUACCCCCACCCCCCACCCCCCACCCACCCAAAGU